rnacentral:rRNA from 1 species
CCUUUGACGUUAGCGGCGGACGGGUGAGUUAACACGUGGGUAACCUACCUAUAAGACUGGGAUAACUUCGGGAAACCGGAGCUAAUACCGGAUAAUAUUUCGAACCGCAUGGUUCGAUAGUGAAAGAUGGUUUUGCUAUCACUUAUAGAUGGACCCGCGCCGUAUUAGCUAGUUGGUAAGGUAACGGCUUACCAAGGCGACGAUACGUAGCCUACCUGAGAGGGUGAUCGGCCACACUGGAACUGAUACACGGUCCAGACUCCUACGGGAGGCAGCAGGC